UACGGAGGGAGCUAGCGUUGUUCGGAAUUACUGGGCGUAAAGCGCACGUAGGCGGCUUUGUAAGUUAGAGGUGAAAGCCCGGGGCUCAACCCUGGAAUUGCCUUUAAGACUGCAUCGCUUGAACAUCGGAGAGGUAAGUGGAAUUCCGAGUGUAGAGGUGAAAUUCGUAGAUAUUCGGAAGAACACCAGUGGCGAAGGCGACUUACUGGACGAUUGUUGACGCUGAGGUGCGAAAGCGUGGGGAGCAAACAGG
rnacentral:rRNA from 1 species